rnacentral:snRNA from 1 species
GGAUGUGAGGGCGAUCUGGCUGCGACAUGUCACCCCAUCGCCAGGUUUUUUUUUGGCUGACCUGUGCGCUCGGUCGAAGAGGACGGCCUUCCCCGAAUAGAGACGGACCGGUCUUCGGUCGAGGGUAUAUGAGUA